rnacentral:sRNA from 2 species
GUCUCUCAGACACCGAAGUCGGACCCUGAGAGAACGGCAUCACAGGUCCGACACGGGGGAACCACUUAUGGCCGAAAGGCCUUGGGGUGAAGCCUGAAUCUUCAGGCCGGGCUCUCCUGCCCGAAUCCGACAGCUGACCUCGCAGGUAAGAAGGAGAUGCAUA